GGGGUGCUCGAGUGGCGAACGGGUGAGUAACACGUGAGUAACCUGCCCUUGACUUUGGGAUAACUUCAGGAAACUGGGGCUAAUACCGGAUAGGAGCUCCUGCUGCAUGGUGGGGGUUGGAAAGUUUCGGCGGUUGGGGAUGGACUCGCGGCUUAUCAGCUUGUUGGUGGGGUGGUGGCUUACCAAGGCUUUGACGGGUAGCCGGCCUGAGAGGGUGACCGGCCACAUUGGGACUGAGAUACGGCCCAG
rnacentral:rRNA from 1 species